rnacentral:rRNA from 1 species
CGUUCGCGGCCCUCGAGGGUUCUCUCUCGGGUGGUAGGGGUAACACCCUCACGCGUCGCAUUUCUGAAUCCUUUUUUUACGAGCACCUUUCGUUCUCCUUCGGUGGGGCAACCUGCCGCUGGAACUUAACAAAACCUUUUUUUGCAUCUAGCAUUACCUGUUCUGAUACAAACAAUCGUUACAACUUUCAACAAUGGAUCUCUUGGCUCUGGCAUCGAUGAAGAACGCAGCGAAAUGCGAUAAGUAGUGUGAAUUGCAGAAUUCAGUGAAUCAUCGAAUCUUUGAACGCACAUUGCGCCCCUUGGUAUUCCAUGGGGCAUGCCUGUUCGAGCGUCAUCUACACCCUCAAGCUCUGCUUGGUGUUGGGCGUCUGUCCCGCCUCUGUGCGUGGACUCGCCCCAAAUGCAUUGGCAGCGGUCCUUGCCUCCUCUCGCGCAGCACAAUUGCGUUUCUUGAGGUGUGCGGCUCGCAUCCACAAAGCAACCAUCGUCUUUGACCUCGGAUCAGGUAGGGAUACCCGCUGAACUUAAGCAUAUCAAUAAGCGGAGGAAAAGAAACCAACAGGGAUUGCCCUAGUAACGGCGAGUGAAGCGGCAACAGCUCAAAUUUGAAAUCUGGCUCUCUUUGGGGGUCCGAGUUGUAAUUUGCAGAGGAUGCUUUGGUAUUGUCGGCGGUCUAAGUUCCUUGGAACAGGACAUCACAGAGGGUGAGAAUCCCGUACGUGGUCGCCUGCCUUUACCGUGUAAAGCUCCUUCGACGAGUCGAGUUGUUUGGGAAUGCAGCUCUAAAUGGGAGGUAAAUUUCUUCUAAAGCUAAAUACCGGCCAGAGACCGAUAGCGCACAAGUAGAGUGAUCGAAAGAUGAAAAGUACUUUGGAAAGAGAGUCAAAAAGCACGUGAAAUUGUUGAAAGGGAAGCGCUUGCAGCCAGACUUGCCCGCAGUUGCUCACCUAGGCUUUUGCCUGGGGCAUUCUUCUGCGGGCAGGCCAGCAUCAGUUUGGGCGGUUGGAUAAAGGCCUCUGUCACGUAUCUCCCUUCGGGGUGACCUUAUAGGGGAGGCGUAAUGCAACCAGCCCGGA